UACGUAGGGCCCGAGCAUUAUCCGGAAUUAUUGGGCGUAAAGGGCGCGUAGGCGGCAUGCCAAGCGUGUGGUGAAAGCCCGGGGCUCAACCCCGGGUCGGCCGUGCGGACUGGCGUGCUCGAGCACUGUAGGGGCGGGUGGAAUUCCGGGUGUAGCGGUGGAAUGCGUAGAGAUCCGGAAGAACACCGGUGGCGAAGGCGGCCCGCUGGGCAGGAAGGCUCGCAAGAGCCGGCUGACGCUGAGGCGCGACAGCGUGGGGAGCAAACAGG
rnacentral:rRNA from 1 species